rnacentral:tRNA from 1 species
GGAGAGAUGGCUCAGUGGUUAAGAGCUUUGUUUUUGCUCUAACAGAGGACCUGGGUUCGAUUCCCAGCACCU